UGGCCCUUGUCAGACACCUCAGGGCCUGGGCCAGCCAAUGGCUGUCCACAAUGAAGCCCUUCAGUGGGUUUGUCCCUGCAGGAUGGCCCCAGGACGUGGACAGACAGACAGGUUCACAGUGACCCCGGACGUGGACAGAGAGAUAGGUUCACAGUAGCCCAGGAUGUGCACAGAGAGACAGGUUCACAGUGGCCCUAGGAUGUGCAGAGAGACAGGUUCACAGUGGCCCUAGGACAUGGAUGGACAGAGAGACAGGUUCACAGUGGCCCCAGGACAUGGAUGGACAGAGAGACAGGUUCACAGUGGCCCAGGGCGUGGACAGAGAUAGGUUCACAGUGGCCCAGGACGUGGACAGACAGACAGGUUCACAGUGGCCCAGGACGUGGACAGAGAGACAGAUUCAGAGUGGCCCAGGACGUGGACAGACAGACAGGUUCACAGUGGCCCAGACACUCGGCUGCGGAACCAUACUGCAAUCCCAAGUACCUUGGGGCCCAGAUGUUCCAC